GUGCGAACCGGUGUCUCGUAAGGGUCUACGAUUCGGUGAACAGAUAGUGCGAACAAAUACGUUACAGGAUCUUGGAUAUCGGAAAGAGACGAGGAGCUUCCCCGAGCCGAUAGUUUAAAAUUACAACAAAAUGGGAAAAAAUAUUGUGCAAAUUCUAGAAGAAAAAAAGUCCAAUGGUGAUACAAUUUAUACAAUAAUAUGUAACGUGAAAGAGUGUAAGGAACUUUUAACAUACAAAAAAAAGAAAAUUAAAUUCAGUGAAAUAAUUCAACAUUUAAAACGGCAUAGAACUACAAACGUACAGGAUACUACAAUAAAGUCAUUACUUAAAGGAACGAUAAGAAGAUACGAACAUAACAAACCUCCUGAAGAAAAAAUUGUAGAACAUCAAUUUAACGAAGAGGAGUACAUCACAUUAAAAAAAAAAAUUUUAUUUGAGUUGAAACAGAUAAUCCGUUGCUGUUCAGAUAUAUACAAAUUCGU